rnacentral:rRNA from 1 species
GUGAGGAAUAUUGGUCAAUGGGCGGAAGCCUGAACCAGCCAUCCCGCGUGGAGGAAGACGGCCCUAUGGGUUGUAAACUUCUUUUCAAGGGGAAGAAAGUUCGCGACGUGUCGCGAUUUGCCGGUACCUUUGGAAUAAGCAUCGGCUAACUCCGUGCCAGCAGCCGCGGUAAUACGGAGGAUGCGAGCGUUAUCCGGAUUUAUUGGGUUUAAAGGGUGCGUAGGCCGAUCGAUAAGUCAGCGGUGAAAUACCAUGGCCCAACCAUGGAACUGCCGUUGAUACUGUCGGUCUUGAAUAUGGUCAAGGUAGGCGGAAUGUGUAAUGUAGCGGUGAAAUGCUUAGAUAUUACACAGAACACCGAUUGCGAAGGCAGCUUACUGGUCCAUUAUUGACGCUGAGGCACGAAAGCGUGGGGAUCGAACAGGAUUAGAUACCCUAGUAGUCC